GCCAAAAUGCUAGCCCGGCUAUUAGGGUAAGACGCAAAUAAUUAGGUAACCCUCCACGAGUUGAAGCAAUUAAAUAAACCAUUUUUCCUCCCCAGUAUGGGCGACAAAACAGGGAAUUCCGGAGCAAUAAAUUUAGUACCGCAAGGGAAAGCUGAAAGAGAUGUGAAACAGUUCGAUUAAGCACGAGAAAGCAGAGGUUAGUCCUCGUACCUUUUGCAUCAUGCUCUAGCCAGCAAAAUUCGAGCAAAGUGCCCUCUAGUUCGCAACCCCGAAACCCGACGAGCUACCUCGGGACAGUUUUAUAGAACCAACCCACUCCUGUGGCAAAAGGAGGGGACGAUCCCCAGGUAGAGGUGAAAGGCCUACCGAGUCCGGUUAUAGCUGGUUGCUUGAGAGAUGAAUAGAAGUUCAGCCUCGCAAACCCUCCGGCCAAAACAGUACCCCUUAAACUAGGCAAAGAGUUUAACAUGCGAGAGUUAGUCUAGAGAGGUACAGCUCUCUUGACCUUGGAAACAACCCCCACGGGAGACUAAGGAAUAUAAUUACCAAAGGUGAAGGGUUUAGGUGGGCCUAAAAGCAGCCACCCCAAUAGAAAGCGUUACAGCUCAGACCCUAUAAUGCCUAAUAUACCAUUAACUGAUCCGCCCUCCCCAAAAGUAUCGAGCCCUCCUAUGCCAUCAUAGGAUAAGACCCUGCUAGAACGAGUAACAAGAAGAAUGAGCUUCUCCCCACGCCCGUGUACCCCGGAACGGACCAGCCGCCGGCAAUUAACGAACCCAACGCAAGAGGGAAGCGUAUCUAAGCCAGACAGCAGCCAAGAAAAAGGUACGCCAGAUAUCGUUGACCCCACACAGGAGUGUGUCCAGGAAAGAUCGUAUGGAGGAAAAGGAACUCGGCAAGCACAAACCCCGCCUGUUUACCAAAAACAUCGCCUUCUGUUAUAUAACUAUAGGAGGUCCCGCCUGCCCUGUGACUAGAAGUUUAACGGCCGCGGUAUUUUAACCGUGCAAAGGUAGCGCAAUCAAUUGUCUUUUAAAUGAAGACCUGUAUGAAUGGCAUCACGAGGGUUUAACUGUCUCUUUCUCCCGAUCAGUGAAACUGAUCUGCCCGUGCAGAAGCGGGCAUAACCCCACAAGACGAGAAGACCCUAUGGAGCUUUAGGCUUUUUACCAGCUGCAAGAAGCGCGCACACAGCCUGCGUUCACCCUCCGCAAUAUUGGAUUAAAUGCCUUCGGUUGGGGCGACCACGGGAGAUAGAGAAGCUCCCGAGUGGAUUGGGGGAAACUCCAGAGCUCAGAGGAACCCCUCUAAGCAACAGAAAAUCUGACCUUCAAUGAUCCGGCCAAGGCCGAUCAACGGACCAAGUUACCCUAGGGAUAACAGCGCAAUCCCCUCCCAGAGUCCAUAUCGACGAGGGGGUUUACGACCUCGAUGUUGGAUCAGGACAUCCUAAUGGUGCAGACGCUAUUAAGGGUUCGUUUGUUCAACGAUUAAAGUCCUACGUGAUCUGAGUUCAGACCGGAGUAAUCCAGGUCAGUUUCUAUCUGUGAUUCUACCCCUCCUAGUACGAAAGGACCGGAGUGGUGAGGCCUAUGCCUGAGGUAAGCCUUCCCCUAACCUAAUGACGUCUACUAAAGAAGACAAAAGGGAGUCUAAUCAGCCCCUAUAUAAGGGUCA
rnacentral:rRNA from 1 species